rnacentral:lncRNA from 1 species
GAUUUAUGAGACUUCCUUUAAUAAGUGUUGCGCUGGUUCAAGGUUGGGCAUUGGGUGGAGGAGCAGAAUUUACUACAGCAUGUGAUUUCAGUUUCAGACACUGAAGAGAAAGUGAUUCUGCGCUGGCAUGUAGUGCUCUACAUAUUUCAAAACAUCAUGUUGUACAUUUAAAAACUUUUAAGCCUGGCGUGGUGGCUCAUGCCUGUUAUCCCAGCAUUUUGGGGGGCUGAAAUAGGCAGAUCACCUGAGGUCAGGAGUUUGAGACCAGCCUGGCCAACAUGGUGAAACCCUAUCUCUACUCAAAAUACAAAAAUUAGCCAGGUGUGGUGGCACAUGCCUGUAGUCCUACAACUUGGGAGUCUGAGGUGGAAGGAUUGCUUGAACCUGGGAGGUGGAGGUUACAGUGAGCCAAGAUCACACCAUUGCACUCCAGCCUGGGCAACAGAGUGAGACUCUGUCUCAAAUAAAUAAAUAAAUAAAUAAAUUUGUUGAGCUACAAAUUAUAUACAAUAAAAUGAAUCCAUUUUAAUUGUAUGCUGUAAAUGGAUUUUGAUGAAUAUAUACACCCAUGUAACCACCUCCACAAUCAAGAUUGAGAACAUUUUUAUCACCCCUAU